rnacentral:rRNA from 1 species
UCAGUUCGGAUUGUAGUCUGCAACUCGACUACAUGAAGCUGGAAUCGUUAGUAAUCGCGAAUCAGAAUGUCGCGGUGAAUACGUUCCCGGGUCUUGUACACACCGCCCGUCACACCAUGGGAGUUGGGAAUGCCCGAAGCCGGUGACCUAACCGAAAGGGAGGAGCCGUCGAAGGCAGGCUUGAUAACUGGGGUGAAGUCGUAACAAGGUAUC